GUAUGGACUACUUUUACGAAGUGUUUUAAGGUUAUCCACUGUCAUUUUAUGGACAAGUUGUCAAAGAAACGACAUACUGCAGUUCACUGAAGAACGAUGGAAAGUCAUAAUGAGCCCUGCUUUUCCUUGUCAUAUACACACCAGCAGAUGGCAGUAUGGACUUGAAGUCAAUUAAAACUUUAAGCAAGAAAAAGUGAUGUGUGGUGCAAUGCAGUGAGUGGACUAAUAGAAGGAGAAAGUCUGUCGGUCGGGUAUGCCGCUGUAUACAGAUAUCUGUGGAACGGCCUGUCUUCCGCUGCUCGUGCUGCUGCUGGUGGAGUUGACAGUGCUGGCAGUGGAGGCACUGGUGGUGCCUGUGGAGUUUGUGGUGGAGGUACUGGUGCCUGUAGUGCUGCUGGCACUGGAGGCAGGAGUGCUCUGCUCACCCUCCAUUGUCCCGCCCCGAUGCCUCACCUUUGAACCACGACCGCCCCGCUGCCACACUCGACCAGUCUCCUGGUACCACCACAUGAACGGCCAUGGAAGAUGGAUUAGACAGAAGAAGAGUUGCCCAUGUCAAGAUGCGAUACAGCACCACAUUAAAGGUUGCUAAACAAAACUUGAAUCAACAAAA